AAGAAGGAGGGGGUCUCCGCAGCGAAGCAGUCCAUAAAUUCCCCCGCCUCGUCACUCCUCCAGAACCAGAAGCCCACCCAACCUCCACCUCCUCCUUCCAAGAAGGUCCGUUCCCCUCCUCCCUUCUCCGUCCUUCCUCCUGCAGUAAUCCCCAUCCAUCCGUCACUCUUCUUUUUCCUCUCUUGCCCCCAUCGCUCAGUAGCACAGCGGCUGCGGCUGCAGCUGCCCUUUUCUUCACCCCCUUUGUGCUGCUGCAAAGCAGAUCCCUGCAUGGCUGCAUCCCUAUCCCCAUUUUAGAUCACCUUUGCGCAUGCUCCCUUGUGGUCUGUGCGCAAGGAGGCCAGAAAAUUGCUUCUUGUCCCUGUCCCUCUCCCUCUCUCUCUCGAACUGCAUCACGAGCAUACAGGGUAGUGCCUUAGUGGGGAUGGCUAACUGACGAUUUGUCGCUGAUCUUUGAUUGCAGGGCAUGGACGCCGUCGAGCGCUUGAAGAGCGGGUUUGACAAGUUCAAGACCGAUGUCUAUGAGUAAGUCACCAUCAACUGCCCCGCGUUCGAUUUCAGUUUCAUGGCGCUUGAUUUGCUUCGAGAAUUUUGGGACCUCCCACUGACGACCCUGCUUUGCCCCCCGUGGAAUUUCCUCCUCGCAGCAAGAAGCCGGAGCUGUUCGAGCCGCUCAAGGAGGGCCAGGCACCCAGGGUAUGUGCUUCCUUCUCCGCCCUAUCUCAUCACCCUUGUAGACUGCUAAGAUUUUUGUCUGGAGCGGCUCCGGCCGGCUGGAAUCCUCGUCAGAAAUCAUGGAAAGCUUAAUUUAGCCAAACCGCGUUCAGUAACUUGGGUUCCCGUGGGGUCCGGGCAACGCCUGGCUGGCUGGCCCACAGAUUUGGUGGUACCUAGUACGUCCUGGUUGCCCAGGCGUCCAGUUAGAAGCAAGCUCUGAACAGUGUCGCUGGUACUUGCUCACCAUCAGGAUCCCUGCAUUACAUUCUCGUUUGCAUCUCCCAGGCAACCCUGCUGCCAUCCGUUACUGUUUCAUUUGCCGAGGUCAGAGUCGUGGUAGACAAGCGGAAACGGCUUGUCCUAAUUGCAUGACUUAACACUGACGGGGACAGCUUGUCUCCAUUAGCGGCCAGUGGCCCGUGAUCAGGUUGGAGAAACUGAAACUGUUCUUGUUGGACGAGCCUGCUCCACGGGGCACAGCCUUUUCAACUGUGCAGAGAGAGAUUGUAGUGGAUAGCAACCACCCAGGCACUAAAACAUGCGCGCGGCGAGUGCAUCCCCAUGUGCAGGCCAUGUUGGUGAUUUGGGCGUUGGCCUUGUAAAUUAUUGAGAGAGAUGUCGCCGUCCCUGUAUAGGCUCACUUUCUGGACUGGUGGUGGGUGAUGAUGGAUAUAGUAUAGUCUUAUUUCCUUCUCGUUCCUAGUAUAAACCUGGUGCCAGAAUCUCGCAAGUACAGAGUUUUAUUGUUUUCUUUAUGGGGGUUCUUGGCUGGCAUCGAUCCCAUGCGCCUAAUUACUCCAUGCAUGCUGUAGUUAGCUGGUUCCAGGCCCAAGUAGUCUAGUAAUUUUAUUUGCCAAAAAAAGUGGUUGGCGUCUUACUCGGUCUGUGGGAAACUAAGAACUAGCAACUAGCCGUGUUGAAUUCAAAGUUCAGACUAGUUGAAUUUUGUCAAGGUCUCCUGCAUCGUUUUUUUUUUUGGGGUGGGGUGGAGUAUAGUGCUCUAGUCCAUCAUUACACUAUAUGGUGGUGGUGAGUAGGCAUUUCAGAUGUCUCAUCGUUUUGAAAGUUCUUUUUGACGCUGCACAAAUCAUACACUAAAAAGUGACGUGAGCUCCAAGUUUCCAUGGCUAUGAAUAGAAUGGAAAAUGCAAGGUGAGCCAUGCCCACAUAGAUAGGUGAUAGGUCCAGGAUCCCAUCAUUCCAUGGCUAAACGUGUGGUCCAGCCAUGAUUGAGCACAGGCCCUACCUGGCAGCUAGCAACCUGUCCUGUGGCUGUGGCGCACUGGUUCCUCACCUCAUAGAAUUCGCUCUUCAUCAGCAUGUAGAAGAGUAGUUGGUUUGAGCGUGUCCUCUAUUCCCAGCCAUUGCGAAAAGUUAGGGGCAUAAACAUUGGCCAGUGCAUGUUGCUUUAGCCUUCAGAACAUUUGUGUAUUCGCAUCCAUAUCUCACUGGCCAUGCUGAUCCUUGAAAUAUAUGCUAUACUAGACACGUCUCAAAGUGUAUAAAGAGCAGAAGAUGAUUGCAUCACGUCAUGCCCCUUGCCCCCUUUCCAAACCCUGGCCUCCCAAGUGUGAGCUAAUCCAAAUAGGAACGAGGUUCCUUUUCCUAAUCAUCCAUGGACAUGGUGUCCGUCCAUCCAUUGUGGCUGCUCUUGUCACCAAGCUCAAUCUGCAGUGUGGAUUUGGCAGUUUUGAUCCGGCCUUUUGCAUGCAAAUUGUUCUCGGUUCAUGCAUGCAGGCUCGCCUUUUGCGUGUCAACUUGCCCGGAAAUAUUCUUGCUUUACGCUUGCGGCUUCCUCGCCGGGAAUGGGAUCACGUUUUGUUUCUGGCCCGUUGAUCGCCCCGGGAGCCACAUGAAAGUCGGCGUAGAAUAUCCUCGUUUCGAGUAGUAGCAGGGAACCUUCCUGCUUGGCUUUUGUCCAUCCUGCCCCCCUGGUAAAAAGUGGCUCGGAACAGAGACAACCAGGAAAUUUUUCAAAAACAGAGACAGCCAGGUCAAAAGCGGUAGCCUUUUUCGAGCGCAGUGGUACCAGCAUGCAAAUCCAGCAGAGCCACCAGAAUCGUGUACUCCACCGAUCAGCGCCGAUCUGCCUACCUGCUUAUCGAUAAGAGCCGUGGGGGGCGUGAGAUGUCCAUUAGCGAUAAGGCUGAUUAAGCGUGCUCUUUUCGUUAACCUGAUGCUUGAUUUUUCUUCUCUUUUGUUAAUGAUGCUGAUUUCCCCCUUUUGUCAACGCUAUGCUGCAGUACAUGGUGUUUGCCUGCUCCGACUCCCGUUGCUGCCCGUCGGUGACCCUGGGCCUGCAGCCCGGCGAGGCCUUCACCGUCCGCAACAUCGCCGCCAUGGUCCCACCUUACGACAAGGUAAACACUGUCUGACUGACUGACGCAUGGACAUCUGUGUUUUUUCUUUGUUUGGCCGGCCAUGACCACUGGUGUGUCUUUGCCUGUCGACUGCUGCGUGCGCAGACCAAGUACACCGGCAUUGGGUCCGCCAUCGAGUACGCCGUCUGCGCCCUCAAGGUGGAGGUCCUCACCGUCAUCGGCCACAGCCGCUGCGGUGGCAUCAAGGCGCUCCUCUCCAUGAAGGACGGCGCACCUGACAACUUGUAAGUAACGGUGGAAUUAAGUUACAGCUUUGGAUCGAGGAACCUAUCCUGCAGCUUGGUGUUUCUGACUCGAGUACUAUCUCUUUAAUCAGCCACUUCGUCGAGGACUGGGUCAGGAUCGGCUUCCUCGCCAAGAAGAAGGUGCUGACCAACCAUGCCUCGGUUCCGUUCGAUGACCAGUGCACCCUCUUGGAGAAGGUAUGUUUGAGCUACUCAAUUACCAUGGCGAUCUUACUUUCCCAUACAGUAGCAGUGUUUGCAGUGCCAAUUGCAUCUACACGUGUGUACUGCCUAGUCUGCAUGAAUAUCGAAUUGGUUUGCUCAUGAAAGGAUCCUGCAUUUCUGAAUAUUUUUGCAGGAGGCCGUCAACGUGUCCCUCUACAACCUCCUGACCUACCCCUGGGUGAAGGAAGGUGUGGCCAACGGGACACUCAAGCUGGUCGGCGGCCACUACGACUUCGUCAACGGGGUGUUCUCCGUGUGGGAGAAAUAAGCCACCCGGUUUAUUCAUCAUACAUACAUACCGAAAUAAUGCAUCCAAUCGAUGUGAAUGCAUGAGUACUUACUACCUAUUUUCGGCCGCUACAUAUAUAUCAGAUCGGCCGAUGUGAAUGUAAUAAGAUAUAGCAUUUUCUACCGCUUUACGACUUCUAUGUACUAUAUGAUGCGUAAUUUGGCCGCCUUGUGGUCAAAAGACAUCAGCUAUGUAUAAGCCGUUUUACUACCAUGGCUAUGUAUAAUUUCAUAAUAUUUUCGUCAAGAGUUUACCUUUUACUACCCCUUCAUGUUGGCUUAUUUGUCUGUCCCCUUCCUGGUUGCUGAUGCAGUAUUUUUAUGUGAUAACAAGAAUAAUUUUGUAUGCA
rnacentral:lncRNA from 1 species